rnacentral:rRNA from 1 species
UACAUGGGGUGCAAACGUUGCUCGGAAUCAUUGGGCGUAAAGCGCGCGUAGGCGGUUAUCUAAGUCGGAUGUGAAAGCCCUCGGCUUAACUGAGGAAGUGCAUCCGAAACUGAAUAGCUAGAGUACGAAAGAGGGUCGCGGAAUUCCCGGUGUAGAGGUGAAAUUCGUAGAUAUCGUGAGGAACACCGGUGGCGAAGGCGGCGACCUGGGUCGAGACUGACGCUGAGGCGCGAAAGCGUGGGGAGCAAACAGG